rfam:Loxodonta africana unplaced genomic scaffold scaffold_2, whole genome shotgun sequence.
GCAGUGGUGGUUCAGUGGUAGAAUUCUUGCCUUCCAUGCUGGAGAUCUGGGUUCCAUUUCUGGCCAGUGCA